AAACCAUGCAUCGGGCACUUUCUAAUCAAUUCUUUGAAUCUCUCCCAAGCUUCAUACAAUGUCUCAUCUUUAGAUUGAUGAAAAAAUGUAAUAUCAUUCUUCAAUUA
rfam:Gossypium raimondii Chr11_contig_636, whole genome shotgun sequence.